CACCGCGGUUAUACGAGAGGCUCAAGCUGAUAGACACCGGCGUAAAGAGUGGUUAAAAAACAAUAAAACUAAAGCUAAAUACCUCCAAAGCUGUUAUACGCAACCGAAGGCAAGAAAAACCCUUACGAAAGUAGCUUUAAAAUUAUGAACCCACGAAAACUAGGACA
rnacentral:rRNA from 1 species